AGUAGGCCUACUCCUGCUGCUCUACUCUACAACACUGCACACUCUGCUAGAUCUGCUGGUCGUUAAGUAGCAAGUAGCUCACCUGCGCCGGUCAUGUCUUCAGAAGGACUUUGUAGAGGAGUAUUGUUUGGCUGCUCUUCAUUUAGAGGUUCUUCAUCCUUGUACUGUAGCACAAAGUUGAAGCUGGAGUUGAGUUUACCUGUUCUAGUGCUGUGAAGGCGUUGCUAAGAGACGGAGAGAAGCUGAUUCAUUCAACAAACUAGGCAGAGGUCUAUUAACCUUCCACACUAAUGGGCAAUUUUACACCGGGUGCCCAUGCCCAAGGGCCGAGGAGGGGUCGGUGGAGGAGAGCCACAUACUGCGGUGUGCGGAGCCUGUGGACACCAGUUGUUGACAAAGCAGCUGAACAUCGUCUUCAAGAGAUGCAACACUCCAUCCAUCACCUGCCACACAUUUUCAAUUUCACAUUCUCUCUGUGAUGAAUGGGUGUCUGCAGUUCCAGAGGUGGUGGGAACUAUCAAUACUGUGAUAAAAACUUUGGAAAAAUAAACAACACCUCCAUGCCUGUGUGCACCUGAAUGCACCAAGUGCUAUUUGAACAUUGUGUUGUUAAUUGGAACAUUUUUUUUUUUAAGACGUGUUUUUGCAGCAUCAUUUGAUGACUGAAACCAAACACAGAUCCAAACAUUUCAUCUCCUAUCUCUUCUGAAGCUCCUCUAAAUGAUCCAACAUGCUCUAUUAAUCAUUGAUGGCUUUGUAAUGUAAACACAAGAUGGCACUCACCAAAUACAGUGCGGGCAGGAACAGA